rnacentral:lncRNA from 1 species
UAUACUUGAUCCAAGUAGCAAGUAAUCGAAUUGGGUUGGUUGCCAUGAUCGUCCGGUCAUAGGAGAAAAGCAGGGUUUAAAGGCCCUCUCCUCCCAUUCGAUGGGGUCUCCUAUGGCGGUAGGGGUGCCGCUGCAAUUAUAUCCCAUGCAGAUGAAGCAAUGAAAGGAAUUAAUUGUAAAGGUUUAAUUGUAAAAUUUAUCAUGAAUGUGUUAGAUUAGAUCUAAAGGAAUAUUCAUGAUUUAUUUUGAUUGAGUUAUUUUCUGUUAUGUAAUUAGCAAUAGGAUUGUUAUUUAUGAAAUGUGCUGAUCUAUUUGUGAAAUGAGUCA